rnacentral:lncRNA from 1 species
ACCGCAAUCACCGUCAAGACAUGGAGCUACUCAGAUCAGGUAUGGCUACAUUGCGUACUAACCAUGAAGCCAUUCACACUGCCACUGUGGAAACCCAACAGCAAAUCCAAAAUUUUGAGGAGAGCAGCAAUAGAAACUGGUGCCAAGCCUACACAUCAUAUCACCUGCCCGUACCACCAUACAUUCCUCAACCACCACAUGCAUAUCCACCUCCUCCUGCACAAUAUCCUCCACAGCAAUAUCCUCCACCAUAUCCACCAUAUCCAUCGUAUCCACCCCAGUGAGGAAGGACAAGCUUGGGGGAGAUCCUCUCCCCCACCAAGGUAAGUAUUCUAUCCUAUUUAUUUCCAUGCAUUUUAUCAUUCUUGCUCUAAAAAAAAAAAUUAGCAUUUCCCUUUAGCAUAUAUGCUUCAUGUAUGUCUAUAUCCCUCAUGGAAAUGAUGACUAGUUGCUUGUUAAUGUUUCUCUAGUACCUAGUAUACAACUUAGUAUUUCUCCAAGUAUGGAUCACUUAGCUCACUUAAACUGCCAUGAACCUGAAAACUUUGUGGGUUGCAAGUGCUAGAACUAAGUCUAAGUUGUUGUGGGACAUGAGAUAGUGAGACAAGAGCUGCUAUAAUAUUAUUCUAAGCAUGCAUGAUUAUCAGAGAUUUAUUCUUAAAAUGAUCAAACCCUUAAUUGUUCCUCAAUGGUGAUGAAUUCCUACCACAGCUAUAUCUACUUUACAUGAUUGCAACCUUUCCACAUAAGCUAUUUGCUUUGUGUUGAGUGUCGUCAAGUCUUGUUGACCCCUGUUAAGAGACUUUUCAUGCUCCUAAGAUCAAGAUCACGUACACACCACAUAUAUAUAUGCUGCUUCUACACUGGAAGUACGCAACCACAUGUAUUUCGCAUCCACUAAAUAGGUUGCUCCAUACUCUAAAUGUUAGAAUAUCUCUCUCUAAGCAUUAUUUGGUAAAUGAGACAUCAAAAGCCUAGGCAAAAUGAAAUAAAAAGAUGGACAUGUGCAAGUCCACAAAAAAAAAAUUGAGCACAUAAAGCUCGAAGAAAAAGAAAAUGCUAGCCAUGUCUCAAUAUACAAGUAGAGAGAGUGUAGCAAAUAAAGGAGCAACCUAGUCCACCAUAUAUCACACUUGCACAUCUUGAUCUGGGAGUAUGACACUUCUCUUCAAGGAUCCGAGCUUUGACUUCGCAACACAUGCAAAGUAAGUAUGCUAUCUCCUUUCAUCCCUACCUUAAGCUCCACAUAAGCCUUUUAGAAAUAGGAUGAAAUAGAGAAGGCAACUCUAUCAU